AUGAAAAAAGGAGUCACAGAUAUAAUGUAUAACGAAACAAAUGAGAAAGAACAACAAAUAAAUUGUAACAAUUUAAAAAAUAAUAAUAUUAGUAUUGGUAGUAGUUUUGCUAUUAACAACAAACAAGGUGAUACAUCAAUAUAUACCAACUGUUUACAAAGCAUUCCAAUAGUUAAUGAAAUUUCCCAAAAUAACACAAACAAUAACACAAACAAUAACACACAUAGCAACACAAAUAGCAACACAAAUAAUAACACAAACAACAACACACAUAGCAACACAAAUAAUAAUAAUACGAAUACCCCCAUGAAAAAAAGAGGAAGAAAACCAAACACAGAAAAAUUAUUACUAAAAACGGACGAAGUAAAACCGGAAAAAAAAAAAAAAAUCGAUUUACCAGUAAAAUGGAAUGAACAAAAACACAAAUAUGAUGCAAUAGAAGAGGGGAAAGAAGAAAAUGUAGGAUUUCCAAAAAAAAGAGGAAGGAAAAGAAAACAAAUAAUCAGUAAAAUAAUCGAUGAAAAGGGAGUUAGCGAAAAGGGAGUUAGCGAAAAGGGAGUUAACGAACAAAAAACUAGUUUCCAAAAUAACGAAAAUAUUGAUAACAUGGGUAAUAUAAAAUAUGAUAGAUAUAGCACCGAUAAUAUAAUACAAAACGAAUUAAAUAAAAGACAAAACAUUAACAUGUAUAUUGUUGACUCUUCUGAAACGAAUGGAACGGCCACAACAAGUGGUACUACACAUGAUAUAAAUAAAACAAAAAACAAUUUAGAAAAUUUAAACAGUCAUAGUACAAAUAAUAUAAUUAAUAAUAUAAUAAAACCAAAAAAAAAAUCAGUUGUUAAUUUGUUUUUAGAUUCAAUUGAAAUUAAAGUAAAUAUUGAGUCGGCAAAUGACAUGAGUAGUGAAAGUAGCAACUUGACAUUUAUCAGUAGCGAACAGAGCGAACAGAGCGAACAGAGCGAACGGAGCGAACAGAGCGAACGGAGCGAACAGAGCGAACAGAGUGAACGAAAUGGAAGUAGCGAACGGAAUGGAAGUAGUGAAGGGUGCGAAAGAGAAAAUAAAAAAUUGCAACUUAGUAAAAUUAAAAUAAGGAAUGUAGACUUAGAUACAAGUCCAAGGUACAAACGUAAUUCCAUAUCUGACAACGAAGAAUAUAAUAAAAAAAAAAUUACAGAUGGUGAUGGUGAUGGUAAUGGUGAUGGUAAUGGUGAUGGUAAUGGUAAUGGUGAUGAUGAUGGUCAGGUGGAUAAUAACAAUAUUGAUAAUUAUGAUACAAAUUACUACAACAAUAAAAAAAAUGAAAAAAAAAAAUGA
rnacentral:lncRNA from 1 species